UGUUUGUCUCUCCUGUGUUCUGUGUGAUUCUGUGUCCCUUUGUUUCCCUUUGUAUUUAGUUUUUGGACAUUUAACUUUCUGCAUUGAACGUAAAGCACCAAAUUGGAGUUCACAAGCAAGGCAGAACCACCAGAUCCUUCUGAUUUGAUCCUCCCGUGCUUCACUUCCGGCUCUCUGUUUAUUUCAAGCCGUGGCCUUAGGAUAAUCCGGAGACACAUGGCAGCAGAAGGGACGAGAAGUUUGACUUCAAGUUGCACGGUUAAGAGGUGCUGGCACUAGUUGUACAGCACAGAGUGCUUGAAGAUAUGCAAGAAAGACGGCACUCAUCUCCCACCAAGUCAACAGUCACGUGCAAUGAUGUGUGAGCGUCAUCUUUUCACAGUCAUGGAUCAUCAUUCCUGUUAUUAAACCACUCAUUUUUUCCA